UACGUAGGUGGCAAGCGUUGUUCGGAAUUAUUGGGCGUAAAGGGCGCGUAGGCGGUCUUGUAAGUCAGCUGUGAAAGCCCGGGGCUCAACCCCGGAGGGUCGGUUGAUACUGCAGGACUGGAGUACGGAAGAGGUAGCUGGAAUUCCCGGUGUAGCGGUGAAAUGCGUUGAUAUCGGAAGGAACGCCGGUGGCGAAAGCGAACGGGCUGGAUCUCUACUGACGCUGAGGCGCGAAAGCCAGGGGAGCGAACGGG
rnacentral:rRNA from 1 species